ACGGAAGCCAGCGUGAACUUUAGCCAGCAUCUUUCAUUUCAUUCACGCUGGAUGACACACUCCCUCACUCACAAAGACCCCGUGAAGAAACUUCCAGACCACCGCUGCGAACACACAAAGACCGAAACUGGCAAUGGUGACGUGGGAACAAGCUUCAGUCGCUAAAACAGCUGAGUCAGCCGUUGCCAGAUAGUAGUGCCUCCGGAGUGUCUGCUCACCCAUCAGGUGUGGAAUUAAACAACCACAUCAACCUUCAAGCUGACUACGCCGCCUGAAACACGACUGAAACCACCACAUCCCACUCAGGUGCUACGUCCCUGCUAUCACGUCAAAGCCAAAAAACUACUUAAUGCGUCAAGCUUUAGCGGGUUGUUCAAAUAAUCAAAGUGUCACCUGGAGACGGCGAUGAUGGAGGAGUUGAGGCCGCCGUAGCAGGAAAUGGCCACAGACAGCGGAAUCAGCCAGCGUGCCCAGCCCAGAACUUCGUCUGCAAACGUCUGAGGAGAACAUUAACGUCAUUUCUUUUUAUUAACAUGUCAACAUUGCGGAAUCAAAACAAAGAUCAACAGUCGGCCAUAUGCAAACAAUUACAGGCCACUAAUCACAUGGUCAGAGACGCUAAACUCGUUAGGUCGACAGACUUCCCGCUCGCAAUCAAAGCAGAUGCUCUCGCAGCCAGACGGACAGGAAAUCAAGUGCGCCGGCCAUAACAUUAGGUACACCUGCACUCUCUAAUGACAUCUAAUCCAAGACAAAGAGUCUCAAGUUCAGUUUCGCUUGAUUGUGCAGAAACUUUUUUUUUUUUUUUUUGCUGUUUAAUUGGAACUCUUUUAAAGUGGAGCCCAAAGGACCGGUGGAAGCAACUCACCACUGCGACAGCUUCGCUAGUGAGCACCUGGUCGGCAUCCAAAACUACGUAGUAGGCCACGUUGGUCAAGAUGUAGAUGAUGGUGACGAUGGGCAUGGAAAUGGCGAUGCUCAGGGGGAGAUUCCUGCAACAACAAAGAAGGGCUGAGCAGCCAUUUUUCUUUCGGAGAGAUGCUAAACAUUACAAUGAUAUACGCAGGAGAUAAUUUUUUUUAUGUUGUCGUUGUUUUACCUCUCUGGGUUC